UUCGAUUCCCCAAUCCCCACUUGCCCGUCUCCUCCACGGACCCCCCAAAAAUCCCAAAUUGCCGACGGAACCCUAGCUCCGGCGCUACUGCCAGAUCAGGACACCUCCUCCGGCGGAAUCGGCGGCUCCUUCCCGGCGCCACACCUCGGAGGCCUGCGCUGCUCGGCGCUUCCUUCCCCCCUCGCGUCCUUCCUCCGGCUACGCCUUCAUGAUUCGCGCCGCUCGGGUCCGAGGGCUCUGGAGCUUGCUGUUGCUGCCGUCCUCCGAUAGUCACCUCUACCUGCCGCAGCCGCGUAUCCCGUUAUGAACAGAGGGUAGUAUUUGUUCAUCGCCCUUCUGGCCUGCACUGUCUUGCCGCACCACCACCCGCACUACGGCUCUCCCGCUUGUCCGAAGGCGCUCCCGGACCAGUUAGUGAUGAAUUACCAAAGGAUACCAGCGAGCAGCGUCCGGCACUCCAAGCGUCACAUCAACCAACUUGAUGGUGUUAUCUGUUCAUGUGCAAAGCAGGACGAUUACGCCAUCAACAGGUACCGGACACGGACUCUUCUGCCCUCCUUUGCCACUGUUGUGUCAUGUUCGAGCACGGCAUCAACUUGUGACGGACACGAACUCCACAUGAACUCCCUCCUUUGCCACAUAAUAGGCAUCGAGCGCUCUACGGAAGCAUCCAAUCUCGCUGUUCUAACAACUUCGCCGGAAAUACAGACCGCCAGUGCUCCAGCUGAGGUUGUUUCUCGAGUAUUUCUUAUUGCAGACCAUGCUGUAGAGACACACAAACCGUACGGCUGCUUUUGCUUUGUUACAUUUUCAGAUCUGCAGAUAGAUCCGCUGAUGGAUUUAAGUUUUCAUUCACCAACUUCAAAUACUCAAUUCCUUGGAAAUGAGGAUCGUUCUGCAGCUCAUAAGUCGUACACAACGUGUGAUCGUUUCUACCGUCCAAAUGAAUUUUUAUAUUCAAUAAAUUUGAGGCUGCCUCGAAGCCUCCACCAAGAGUAGAAAGGCGCAAUGUUGGACUUAAUCGGCAGAAGCAAUUGUACUGACCUGCUACUUCAUUACUUAAUUAACUAGUUUCGGAUAGGUGAAUUUCUUGUUUACCAUCCUACAACAUUUCUGCGAGAGUAAGGACAAUUCGUGUUUUUAUGUAUGUACCAAGCUGGGAUUGCUAUAUAUUGUUUGUGUUGUCCAACAUACUACCCAUUUCUUCAACCUUGCUUUGCCAGAGGUAUCAUUUACUUAUUGAUAUGCUUGAAAAGUUUUUUUUUCUGUAGUUGUUUCCGGCAUAAUCUUCUACAAGUGAAAUCAUAUUGUUCUGUUAAUUAAUAUUUUCAUUUGAUUAUGAGGAUUGAGGCGUGAGUUUCAUGAUCCAGCACUCCAGUAUGAUGUUUGUGUUGAUCCGUCCUCUUAUUUCUAACGAGGUAAGCUAGAUGACUGCUAGCACUAAAUUUACAUUAGAUAGUUUUUUCUUAUGUCGACAUAUAUACUUAAUCUCAGUUGCCGUAUGUUUUUUUGCUGCCAUGGUAGGCCAAAUUUUAAUUUUAGGUUGUAUUGUGCUAUGGUUUUCAUCGUCCUCUCAGCUAAUGGGGUGGUUUGCAAUAGUGGCAUGUUCAGUUUCCACCAUAUAACUAAACUAUAUUAAUGUACAUUGGAUGAAUUUACCACUGUUUCAUUACCAGCUCUUUCUCUAUCUAUCAACUCUAUUGGAUCCUACCAAAUCUUUGUAAAUCAGGCAAUCCAACAUGAAAUGAUAAAAUUCAGGAUUUACUGAGGGAAGAGAGUACAUCCAAAUUUUGCUGCCACGAUAGGCCAAAUUGUAUUGUGCUACAUAUUUUCAUCUUCCUGUUCAAUGUCCACUGUAUAACUAAAGUAUAUUCAUGUACAGCCGUAUGAUUUUACAACUGUUAGUUACUAGCUCUUUAUAUGUUCACUCUAUUGGAUUCCUCAAGAUCUAUGUAAAUCAAGGAAUCAAGUAUGAAACAGUAAAAUUCAGGAUUGACCAAGGGAAGAGAGUGAGGUUUACGAUAAGGAGGCAUGUGCAGAAACAACAAAGAACCAAGGUAGCACAUACUUGCACUUUGGAAUUGAAUUUUCAGUUGUUCGACAUGUACUAACAUUCAGAUUAUCCAGUAAGUACGGUGCAUUUAAUUAUGCAGCACAACACCAAGCCUUGCAAUAUUAAUGUAAGUUAGCGAGCUUCAUGUCUAGCAACAUAGAUCCAUGUUAUAUUGUUUAGGUAACAAUGAUUGUUCUUCUGAUCAGCAAGUGUACCAGUUGCUUUCUUAUUUGGUCGAUGUGCAACAUAUAUGCCUCAAUUCUGAAUGGACAAUUUUUAUUUGAUCUUUUCUUUACAGUGAGAAUAAAGCUUAUGCUGCCAUCAUAUUUUCUCAUUGCUGUUGCAAGCUCUCCACAUGUAUGAAUUGACAACAUCUAUAGAAAAAUACAUGAAAAAGAGACAUAGAUUUUAUCUCGAGAUUUAUGGUUAAAGAGGAAAAAGAAGAAAACAGGAUUCAGCUGAAUUUCUAGUAUUCAGAUUCACCACUAAGAGACGGAGAUUUGCUUACUUCACAUUUGGAAUAAGUUGACAUUGAUGGAUUCACUUGAGUUGAAGUUCACUUUCUUUUCUUUAAGCAUGUAGUCAUUUUCGUUAUAUUUCAUCAUUUUUCUUUUGUAGGUUAGUGUAAAUUAUGACACCAUGUAUACGGAAUUUUGUUUUGAUUAAUCUUAGAGGAGUGCCUGAUGAGGAAACAAAUACUUUUUCCUGUCACUAAUAGUAAUAUCUGUGCAUCCCCAGUUUGUUUGCCAAUCCUGUUAUGCAUGCAUGGUAACAGUAGUAAAUAUGUACCAAUCUCAGCAAAAGAGCUUGUUCAGGCGAUCAUGGGCAAUUCAUGUGUUAGGGAAGAGUGACUCAUAACCAAAUCCAUCCAUCAGGUUCUCCAAGAGCACUCUAGGUUUGCUAUGCCAUGUCGGCGACCUUUUUGGCAGGAAAUGAAAUGCUCAUUUUGGGACUGGGGGCUGCGGAUCUCGGUCUUGAAUCCAGAUGUUUCCAUUGACUACAGACCUGGUGAUUUGAUAUUUGCUGGACAAUGGAGCGCUUGUCGGAUUGUUUGUCCGAUCCUCGCAACCUCUGCAACCCUCGAUAAGGACGAACCGCAACUGCUACCGACAGUAGCUUGUUCGUGGAGCUUAGGUGACACCGACGAUGUGACGAGAGGUUCUCUUGAUCUCUUCUACAGAAACCAAGAGUUGUUAAAAUCUGGAUACUUAUUUGCCACAGCACCGACUACAGGGUUAGAUCAUCGUCUCAUAUUUGGAUAAUGGCUGCUAUUGUAUCUACAAAGCUUGAUGAACGCCAUAUGGCACUGCUAACAUUCACCAUGAAGGCUUCCGCAUUCACAAGCUGAUCACCAAGAUAGUCGUGCAGAAGUUUUUGAAUACGCUUCUCUUGCUAUUUGUUUGGUGGCUGAGGGAAUUGCAGCUGCAACACUCGAUGUCUGGGAAAACCGAUCUUGCUCGUUACACAUUAGUUGCUGGUUGCAGGGGACACAUGCCUUUUGUCAUAUUUCCAUGUCUCAGAAGGGUCGGAUCCGAUCUUGGCAUUCUUGCCCUUACUUCACAAACAGAAAGUGCGGUUAAACUAUUUUCUGUUGAGCACACUUGUUUCAUCGUGCUGUUUCUGAAUUGCUUCCGUGUCAUGGUUUGCGGAAGAAAGGCAACUCACUAUAGCGUGAAUCUGGCCUGCUGAAAUCUCGCAUCAUCGCUACUGAAGUCCACAUUUCAACCCUGAAGUAACCACGCGGUUCGAUUUACAAUCCUCAACUUCAAAACCGGUCGAAUUACACCCUUAACUUAUCACGAAGUUCAAAAGACAACUCUGGUCUUGUUUUUUGGUUGGUCAACCAGUUUUGACUGCAGUCCUCGCUGACUGAGCAGGCCAACUCAGCAGGAUAAAAAAAGAUGGAUCGGUCUCCUCUGUCUCCACUCAACCCCAACCCCCUUCUGCUCCCGCGACAGAGUCACCACCACGGCCGUGUCCGCCGCCUCGCCGCACCUGACUCCGGCCACCAUCGGCAACCGGCAAACGGCGCCGCUGCAUCUCCGCCGCCUGCCCUACCCGCCAGCCAGCUUGAGCCCUGCCCCACCCCACCAGAGCAGCCGCCACCACCUCUGCCUAGGAUGCCUCACCCCUGAUCCAGUUUCCGCGUGGUUCGGCGGCGGCCGGAGAGCGAGGGGAGAGGUCGGGGAGGACCGGGAGCUCACCCUGAUGAAGACAGCGAUGGCAGGAAGGCAAAGGGAGCUCAGAGGCGUCCACCUCGUCGUCAAUGGCGGGCAUCGGGGCAUGGGCGCAUGGCGAGGUAGGCUCGGGGACGCGGCGCUGCCUGUGAGCGCGCCAGGAGUUUCGCGCGGACGUUGCGAGGCUGAGGGAGCAGACGGUGAGGGCAGUGUCGAGGUAGCGACGGAGAUCUACGACAGACGAUGAUCGGUAGGAGGCGAAGAAGAUGGUGUCGGAUGGCUUGAUUGGGGGCACCCCGCGUCAAUCACCUGGACAAGGAUGAAGAGGGGGGCGCGGCGGAGCUAAGGGACAUGGCGGCGCUUCGAGGGGUGGCCGGUGGCUACGAUUGCGACGGUCGGAGACGGUGACUAGCUCGCGGGUACGUCCAUGGCGUCCGGCGACGACAUAAUUGUUUCUGGACCGGGGCGAUGGUGAGGGAGUCGGGCUUCGGGCCAGCGCGGCGGAGAUGCAACGCCGCCACGCGUCGGUCGCGUUGGUCGCCGGCGGCGGCCGCUGCUGUGAGAGGAGGGGUGAGGUGGAAGACUCGGGCUCGGGGCCCACGCGGAGGAUGUGCAGCACCGCCACUUGUCGGUCACUCCAGUCGCCGGCCGCCUGGUGCGGCGGGGAGGCGGGCACGGCGGCCGCGGGUCGGAAUGGAGGCGUGCCAGGCAGCGGCAGCAGCGUGGACCGGGCUCGGGCUCAGGUGAGAAAACGAGAGACUAGGUUUGGUGGGCUGCUGAAUUGGCAUGUCCAGUCAGCCUUGACUCCGGUCAAAACCGGUUGACCAGUCCAAAACCAAGACAAGGGUUGUGUUUUGAACCAUGUGGUAAGUUUAGGGUGGAAUUCGGAUGGUUUUAGAGUUGAGGGUUGUAAAUCAAACCGAGUAGUUAGUUGAAGGUUGAAAUGUGGACUUUUUUCUUAUUUAUGCAAUAUAUUGGCUGCUACGUACAUGCACGAAUGCAUGCAUAGCCUAGUACGGGCUCA